rnacentral:ncRNA from 1 species
AGAUCCUUUAGAUUCAACCUCGACUAUGUUACAGCCUCGGAUCGUUGGCAACAAACAUUAUGAAACUGCGCAAAGAGUUAAGGAAACUUUACAACGUUACAAAGAACUUCAGGACAUUAUCGCAAUUCUUGGAACUCUGCUGGGCCGACACUGACACUGAGAGAGGAAAGCUAGGGGAGCAAAUGGGAUUAGAGACCCCAGUAGUCCUAGCCGUAAACGAUGGAUACUAGGUGCUGUGCGACUCGACCCGUGCAGUGUUGUAGCUAACGCGUUAAGUAUCCCGCAUGGGGAGUACGUUCGCAAGAAUGAAACUGCGGAAAAUUCCCCACUGCUGCCUCCCGUAGGAGUCUGGGCCGUGUCUCAGUCCGUGUGUGGCUGAUCAUCCUCUCGGACCAGCUACUGAUCAUCGCCUUG